AUGGUUGAGCGCCCCGCUCAAGGGCAAAUCGACAGAACCCCCCCCACCCAGCCGACUCGGGGACCCGAACCAGCGACCUCUCGUCCUAACCACCAGGCCACCCCCAUCGUCCCUCACCCUUCAUCUCCACCAUCAUCGUCCCUCACCCUUCAUCUCCACCAUCAUCGUCCCUCACCCUUCAUCUCCACCAUCAUCGUCCCUCACCCUUCAUCUCCACCAUCAUCGUCCUUCACCCUUCAUCUCCACCAUCAUCGUCCUUCACCCUUCAUCUCCACCAUCGUCCCUCUCCAUCUCCCCAUCAUUCCCUCUAUUUUACCCUCUCUGCACAGCAUUCACAUAGCAUGCAACAUGUUAAUCAUUCUCACAGACAGAAAGAGAGAGAGAAGGCAGAAAGACAGACGGAGAGAGAGAGAGAGAAGGCAGAAAGACAGACGGAGAGAGAGCGAGAGAAGGCAGAAAGACAGACGGAGAGAGAGCGAGAGAAGGCAGAAAGACAGACGGAGAGAGAGCGAGAGAAGGCAGAAAGACAGACGGAGAGAGAGCGAGAGAAGGCAGAAAGACAGACGGAGAGAGAGCGAGAGAAGGCAGAAAGACAGACGGAGAGAGAGCGAGAGAAGGCAGAAAGACAGACGGAGAGAGAGCGAGAGAAGGCAGAAAGACAGACGGAGAGAGAGCGAGAGAAGGCAGAAAGACAGACGGAGAGAGAGCGAGAGAAGGCAGAAAGACAGACGGAGAGAGAGCGAGAGAAGGCAGAAAGACAGACGGAGAGAGAGCGAGAGAAGGCAGAAAGACAGACGGAGAGCGAGCGAGAGAAGGCAGAAAGACAGACGGAGAGCGAGCGAGAGAAGGCAGAAAGACAGACGGAGAGCGAGCGAGAGAAGGCAGAAAGACAGACGGAGAGAGCGAGAAGGCAGAAAGAGAAGACAGAAAGAGCGAGAAGGCAGAAAGAGAAGACAGAAAGAGAAGACAGAAAGAGAAGGCAGAAAGAGAAGGCAGAAAGACAGACGGAGAGAGCGAGAGAAGGCAGAAAGACAGACGGAGAGAGCGAGAGAAGGCAGAAAGAGAAGACAGAAAGAAGGCAGAAAGAGAGAACAAGAAUGUAAGCUUUCUGCCCAUAUCAGAUAUUUCUAUGUGCUGGGAUUUUUUUUGUUACUCACAACCUCAUGCUAG
rnacentral:lncRNA from 8 species